CUGUGUUAGCGAUAGGCGUGGAAAGCUUUUGGCGAGGCGUGCAUCGAGCCAAAACUUGUAACAGAUAGCGCGACGCCCU
rnacentral:sRNA from 1 species